UCUGACGGAGCAACGCCGCGUGAGUGAUGAAGGUUUUCGGAUCGUAAAACUCUGUUGUUAGGGAAGAACAAGUAUCGUUCGAAUAGGGCGGUACCUUGACGGUACCUAACCAGAAAGCCACGGCUAACUACGUGCCAGCAGCCGCGGUAAUACGUAGGUGGCAAGCGUUGUCCGGAAUUAUUGGGCGUAAAGCGCGCGCAGGCGGUUUCUUAAGUCUGAUGUGAAAUCUUGCGGCUCAACCGCAAGCGGCCAUUGGAAACUGGGAGACUUGAGUGCAGAAGAGGAGAGUGGAAUUCCACGUGUAGCGGUGAAAUGCGUANAGAUGUGGAGGAACACCANUGGCGAAGGCGACUCUCUGGUCUGUAACUGACGCUGAGGCGCGAAAGCGUGGGGAGCGAACAGGAUUAGAUACCCUGGUAGUCCACGCCGUAAACGAUGAGUGCUAAGUGUUA
rnacentral:rRNA from 2 species